CUGUACAGUUCAGAGUUUGAUCCUGGCUCAGGACAACGCUGGCGGCGUGCCUAACACAUGCAAGUCGAGCGGAGCCAAUCAAUAGAUUUCUUCGGAAUGACGUUGAGGAAGCUUAGCGGCGGACGGGUGAGUAACGCGUGAGUAACCUGCCUGUAAGAGGGGGAUAACACAGAGAAAUUUGUGCUAAUACCGCAUAUUGAAAGCGAAUCGCAUGGUUUGCUUUUGAAAGAUUUAUCGCUUACAGAUGGACUCGCGUCUGAUUAGCUAGUUGGUGAGGUAAUGGCUCACCAAGGCGACGAUCAGUAGCCGAACUGAGAGGUUGAUCGGCCACAUUGGGACUGAGACACGGCCCAG
rnacentral:rRNA from 1 species